CCCUAUGGGGUGCAGCAGGAGGUUGGAGUAGUAAGGGCAGAGUCCUUCCGCGCAGACGCCCUCGAUGAUCGAGUCGCCGAAUCCGAUCGCCUUCUUGGGUCGCGUCGGGCAAGGGGUGAGCGAAGCGCCCGCGUUCAGUUCGAUGCCCGCGAGCCGCAGAUGGACCGUCGGUGCCUUCCACCGAUUGGGGCCCAGGCAGGCGGAGCGGAAGUAGACCUCUAGUCGAUGCUCCCGGGCCGGGUCGAGCCCGUCGGCCAGCGGGAGCGUGUAGACCGCGCCGGUCUUGGUGAGCUGAACGGUUUUGAACUCGCCGAAGUCGAUCGAGUAGUCGAUCACCGGCAUCGCGGCGGGGGGGC
rnacentral:rRNA from 1 species